rnacentral:tRNA from 1 species
GGGGUUGCAGCUCAGUGGUAGAGCGCCUGCCUAGCAUGCAUGAGGCACUGGGAUUGAUCCCCAGCACCA